UCUGCCUGGUAGUGGGGGACAACGUUUCGAAAGGAACGCUAAUACCGCAUACGUCCUACGGGAGAAAGCAGGGGAUCUUCGGACCUUGCGCGAUUGAAUGAGCCGAUGUCGGAUUAGCUAGUUGGCGGGGUAAAGGCCCACCAAGGCGACGAUCCGUAGCUGGUCUGAGAGGAUGAUCAGUCACACUGGAACUGAGACACGGUCCAGACUCCUACGGGAGGCAGCAGUG
rnacentral:rRNA from 1 species